UAUGAUGUAUAGUGGAAGAUCAGAAAACGUGGGCAGGAGGUGGGAGAGAAGGCAAUGCAGAGAUGAAGGACAUCAUACCACAAUAAUAGUUGUGUGUAUAAGCCUGAUCAACAAGUGAAAAGAGUCAGAUAAGAGGAAAGAGUUUGAAAACUGAUUUAACGACCACUGCUGAAUUGGCCUGCUAAGAGGAAAAGGCACUAAUGAUUCCAGAACAGGAAGCCAAAGAAGAAGACCUACACAGACUUUGAAAUGGUGAAGGAGAUAUACCACACGUCCUUCCUGCUGCUGCCAGACUUUAUAAUCAACACUGCUC